rnacentral:lncRNA from 1 species
CUAUAUAUGGAUAUUCUGUAUAUUCAGCUACUCCUUCGACAUUCUUGUGUCUCUAUAUUACUUGCUGAUAACCACACAUAAUUUGAUGCAAAUGUUACCAAUUUCAUUUCAUUUUAAUCUUAGUCUCUUUGUUAAGCGAACUUAGCCAUUCGUACAUAUUUUCUGUAAAUUUAGACUCGGAAAAUAGCAUUUUAUCGAAACAUGGUAUCUUAAUCUACUAAUAUAACAAUACAAAGAUUUUAUCAACCAAAACACACACAGGCAAAUCGUCUACAGUUGCUGGAAGUGCUAUGGGCCGCGAUUUAUGAUAACCUCCAAUUAUGGACUUAACAUAUUAACAUAGCAAAAUUUUCGUCCCUAAAUUUAGUUUAUACACCAAGAUUAGAAAAUAUUUCAGAACCAAUCCUUUACUCUUUAAAAAACAAAACAAAACAAUUGUGAUCCAGAAUAAAGCACUGUGCAAUAUCUGUUACAUUGCUGCAAGGACAUACUCAAAUACUCUACGUCAAUUUCAUAAAUAAUUACCCACAAAUCGCAAUGUCUAUAUCGUCAUUUACCACAACCUAAUACAGACUCAGCUAUUUUAAGUUAGCAAACAACUUAUUGUUACCGGCCUCUUGAUAAAAAGAUUUUAUCAUCUCUACCAUAUAUUAUACCUAACCACAACACUCCACACUAUUUCCCGUGUUUUCCCUGUAGAUGCAAAUUUAUUUAAACUCAAACUGAACGCCUACUGAAUGGACCACACAAUUUAGAGAAUCUAAGUACUUGAAGAUAUCAUUCAUUCCUUAUAUCUCGUUGCUAAAUUUAAGGAAAUAUCUCAACUUAUGAAAUAUAUUGACGUAUCGACAUAAAAAAUGAUGAUUAUAGAAGCAAGAAUUAAAAUCUCUGAAAUACACACGUGUUCUAAUUAUUCAUAAAAUUUUACUUCUGUAUAUGUAUAAAUUCAUUCUAAUAAAAGAACAUUAAAUUAAAUAUCAUAUAAUAUUAGAAACGGUAGGCAUAUAUAGUUAUUAAAAUAUCUCUUGAAUUAAUAUUAAUUUAAAACAAUGUUGCGCACGUGCAAUGCUUCAUAUGUUGUGUACUUUGUUGAUUAGUGUUGUUUUCUCUGAAAUUCGUUAUCAUUUUACGUUCCUAAUUUUGUAGCAAGCUUGAAUUCAUUUACUCUGUGUUUUGUGGAUUUUUUUUCGUUUUACUUACUUCAGAGAAAUUUUUCCUUUCCUUUAAAAUUACUUCUGACUGGUUGAUUAUUUUCAUAUUUUUCAAUCCAUUUAUUUGUCCAAAUAUAUUUGAUAUUUUGAUUUGAUUAUUUCCCAUAGCUUCGUUAAGAAGUCAUCUUGGAACACUGGAUGUGUAUAUAUAUAUAUAUAUAUAUAUAUAUAUAUAUAUAUAUAUAUAUAUAUAUAUAUAUAUGUAAGCUUCAUACUGCUUGCUACCAUCGCUUUCUCAACAGUCUAUCUACCUAUAUAUAGGCAUACUUAGAAAAGUAUCGGAAUUACAAUACAUUAUGGGUGGGUAAACGGGAUGUAUCAGUUUUGUAGCAGCAAAUAGUGCCGUUUCAGGCUUUUAAAACGCACACAGACACACUCAGACACACACACACACACACACACACACACACACACACACACACACACACACACACACACACACACACACACAACACACACACCCACAGAGUCGAAUAUUAUGAAAUUAUACACCAUGCAUACACACACACACAUAUAUAUAUACAUUCAUACAUAGGACAAGUAUUCGUUAUUAUUAUUAUUAUUAUUAUUAUUAUUACAGUUAUUAUAGCCCUCAUUAUUGUUAACUCUAAGGACUUUUAACCAUUGUGCCUACACCUUGCAACACUGCAACAGCGAAAAGAUGGAAAUUAAUAUAAAUAAAUAAUUUCAGCUUAGCUUUUAAAAUAAUUUAUAAAUAAAAAAACUGUUAUAUAAUAUUAGACCAACCCAGUAUAAGAUAUUUCACCAACUAGGAAACUUUCGAAAACAUGAACUUUAUUAUUGGUUAAAAUUAUCGGUUAAAAUCAAUAUUUUAUACAAGACUGAAACAAAGCGUUUGACGGUUGUUAUAUAUUUUCAAACGCUGCAAAUGUAUUUCCCUUGUAAGUAAAACAAUGUGUUGAUUUUGUUAAAAUUAUGUUAGUUUUAUAUUUUGAAACAAAUUUAUAUUCUUUCUUUAUAAUUUUUCUCUUUUUAAAUCGGGAUCAUUCAGAUUUUCUUUGAUUACACAUGGUACAAUAAGUGCAAUGUUUUAAAGAGGAGUUGCUUUUUUUUUUCUUCUAUUGGUAGAAUAUUUUGGUAAUUCCAUUUUCUUAAUUUGUUUCGCAAAUUCUAUUUUACUUUAUCAAUUUUUUUCUUUCUCUUCCUUCUCACAAUUUUGUAAUUAACAAUUUCGAUUACUUAAUCUGUGAUGCUUGAGAUUACAACUCAAAGAUCAUUGCUACAAGUAAUUGAUAAACCCAACAAAGAACAACGUUUUUGAAUUUCAUUGCGAUAAAGAGGAUUAUUAAAAUAUGAUAAAAACUUUA